ACCUGCAGUCGACGAGACCUUCGGGUCUAGUGGCGCACGGGUGCGUAACGCGUGGGAACCUGCCCUUAGGUUCGGAAUAACUCCUCGAAAGGGGUGCUAAUACCGGAUGAUGUCUUCGGACCAAAGAUUUAUCGCCUAUGGAUGGGCCCGCGUUGGAUUAGCUAGUUGGUGAGGUAAAGGCUCACCAAGGCGACGAUCCAUAGCUGGUCUUAGAGGAUGAUCAGCCACACUGGGACUGAGACACGGCCCAGACUCCUACGGGAGGCAGCAGUGGGGAAUAUUGGACAAUGGGCGAAAGCCUGAUCCAGCAAUGCCGCGUGAGUGAUGAAGGCCUUAGGGUUGUAAAGCUCUUUUACCCGGGAUGAUAAUGACAGUACCGGGAGAAUAAGCCCCGGCUAACUCCGUGCCAGCAGCCGCGGUAAUACGGAGGGGGCUAGCGUUGUUCGGAAAUACUGGGCGUAAAGCGAACGUAGGCGGCUUGGCAAGUCAGGGGUGAAAUCCCGGAGCUCAACUCCGGAACUGCCUUUGAAACUGCCUCGCUUGAAUCCUGGAGAGGCGAGUGGAAUUCCGAGUGUAGAGGUGAAAUUCGUAGAUAUUCGGAAGAACACCAGUGGCGAAGGCGACUCGCUGGACAGGUAUUGACGCUGAGGUUCGAAAGAGUGGGGAGCAAACAGGAUUAGAUACCCUGGUAGUCCACGCCGUAAACGAUGAGAACUAGCUGUUCGGGCUCUUAGAGCUUGAGUGGCGCAGCUAACGCAUUAAGUUCUCCGCCUGGGGAGUACGGUCGCAAGAUUAAAACUCAAAAGGAAUUGACGGGGGCCUGCACAAG
rnacentral:rRNA from 1 species